rnacentral:rRNA from 1 species
UGGGGAAUUUUGGACAAUGGGCGCAAGCCUGAUCCAGCAAUGCUGCGUGCAGGAUGAAGGCCUUCGGGUUGUAAACUGCUUUUGUACGGAACGAAACGGCUCUGGUUAAUACCUGGGGCUAAUGACGGUACCGUAAGAAUAAGCACCGGCUAACUACGUGCCAGCAGCCGCGGUAAUACGUAGGGUGCGAGCGUUAAUCGGAAUUACUGGGCGUAAAGCGUGCGCAGGCGGUGAUGUAAGACAGAUGUGAAAUCCCCGGGCUUAACCUGGGACCUGCAUUUGUGACUGCAUCGCUGGAGUGCGGCAGAGGGGGAUGGAAUUCCGCGUGUAGCAGUGAAAUGCGUAGAUAUGCGGAGGAACACCGAUGGCGAAGGCAAUCCCCUGGGCCUGCACUGACGCUCAUGCACGAAAGCGUGGGGAGCAAACA